AUGGCAGGGGAUUUAGGGAUGUUGAGAUUUGUCUUACACAUGGUUGAAGAAUCAGAUUCAGAUUACUGCCAUGGAAAAGCCCAAAGUCUUCUUGUAGGGCUCAUGUACUUCUCUAUUUUGAAUAUCCUGAUGUGUAUAAUAGUACUUGGUUGUGCAACUUCUAACUUAGAAAAUAGGAUUAUAUUUGAGAUGGCAUCUUUUCGACCAUCUUCUGUUCAUUUAAUUCAGCUGGGGAAUAAUGUGUUUUGUUACACAUUUACUAUAAUUUUUAAUACGAUCAGUCCUUUUAGGUAUCUAUUCAUAACAUAA
rnacentral:rRNA from 1 species